UACGUAGGGGGCUAGCGUUGUCCGGAAUCAUUGGGCGUAAAGAGCGCGUAGGCGGCCCGGUAAGUCCGGCUGUGAAAGUCAAAGGCUCAACCUUUGAAUGUCAGCGGAUACUGCCGGGCUAGAGUCCGGAAGAGGCGAGUGGAACUCCUGGUGUAGCGGUGGAAUGCGCAGAUAUCAGGAAGAACACCAACGGCGAAGGCAGCUCGCUGGGACGGAACUGACGCUGAGGCGCGAAAGCGUGGGGAGCGAACAGG
rnacentral:rRNA from 1 species